rnacentral:rRNA from 1 species
UACGUAGGGUGCAAGCGUUGUCCGGAAUUAUUGGGCGUAAAGAGCUCGUAGGCGGUCUGUCGCGUCGGCUGUGAAAACUCGGGGCUCAACUCCGAGCUUGCAGUCGAUACGGGCAGGCUAGAGUUCGGCAGGGGGAGACUGGAAUUCCGUGGUGUAGCGGUGAAAUGCGCAGAUAUCAGGAGGAACACCGGCUGGCGAAGGCGGGUCUCUGGGCCGAUACUGACGCUGAGGAGCGAAAGCGUGGGGAGCGAACAGG